UCCGCCAGAAGAAGCAGCGCCAGUGGAUUGGCCCGACGGGAAUGAACCAGAACAUGUCUUUCCAUCGCAACCACACGGUGACUGUCCGGCCCCAGGCUGAGAACCCCACGGCCUCCCACCUGGAGAACGAAUACAGUCAGCCUCCCAGGAACUCCCAAAUCUCAGCUUUUCCAGCUCUGGAAGGGGCCCUGCAUCGCGUCUCCACCCAGCCCGAUAACUCCUCUGACAGUGACUAUGAUCUGCACGGGGCUCAGAGGCUGUAAAAGCACCCCUGAGAGUAUCCUGAUGGACUUACACCAGCGGGAAGGAGAAGCCGCUAUCCCUGACAUUGGGCUGGGGGCCUUGGGCCUGUCCCCCACCUCCCUGAACCAUCUCCAGAGUAUGAAACUUCCUCCGCCGACACACUUCCUUCUCACCACACAGAACCGGGACCCGGGAACAAACAUCAAGAGCCAGACCUUUUGUCCUGAGAAUACUCUGCAGUCACUGCUUGGAAAACAAUGUCCAAGUCCUUGCCCGGCAGGACCAUGGACGUGACUUUCCAACAUAUCCUACUGCCCUGCAGAGGCAGGCCAGCUCGGACACCUCUCUACAUCUUCACCAGCCAAGGCAAAGACCCCAACGCAGCUCAGCUGGGCCCCCUCCAGGUGUGGAAGCUGCGAAAGGGCAGAGCCCCGAAGCAAGCAUCCCUCCCAAGCAGAGAGACGCGGGGUCCAGACCCGGGCAGCCCCCUCCCCCGUCUGUGGGACUCAGCUCUCUUCUCCAACUCUGACUCAUGAGGACCCACAAGGAUGCUCACACCUUGGGGGUGGUGGGAGACAAGGGCUGAUUUGUCUCGUGCAUUUUUAAUAUGUUCUUUGUAAAUAAUGAUU